rnacentral:lncRNA from 1 species
GGACCGUUAGAUCUUCACAUUCUUGCUCAUGAUCUUCAUAAAAUAAUACAAAAGAUAUGAAAUACCUAAAAUACCCCUAAUGCCAAAUUAAAAUUCUCAAUUCCUUUUCUCCUAUUCUUCUCCAGCGAGCAUCUUGCCUUCAUCAUCAUCUUAAUUAUUUCAAUCAUUCAACUAUUAACUAAAAACAAUAAAUUCUAAAAUCAAAAAUUAUUAAACUCUUCUCAAUUCUUCCACCAUACUCGGAUUAAGAAAUUCAAUUUCAAUUUCCUUCAUCAACAAAACUUAAUCCCAAUUCAACUCAAUUCGUUUCAAUCCCAGCAACAAAAACCACUAAUUCCCCUAAUUUCUAAAAUACCCUAAUUUUCAAACUGCUGGGAAGAGAUGAAGACAGAGUAGUCGUGAGAGAGAUGGAGGGAUUUGAUGUGUUAGUACAAGGACGAGGAUGCGGUGACCGAUGCAUCGACGUGGUGGUGGUGGUGGUGGCGGUGGCGGUGAAUGGGUUUGAAAGAAGAGAAAGUUGUGUGCGGCGGCGUUCUCGUCGGAUAUGGUGGUGACAGAUCCGUGGUGGUCGAAUCAGUAACAGAUUCCCUCACAACCUCAUUUUUUGAAAUGAUGAAGAGUGUCGUUGAUGUUGGAGGGAGAUUGUGAAAAUAUCGAUGUUUUUGGGGAGAAAAGAAGGGCCUUGUCUUUGAUCUGAAUCUAAAAUGGUUGUGGAGAAGAACAAGUUGUACAAGUUGUUGUGAGAGUUAUGUGGUUGCAGAUGAAUGAGCUAACUGCAUUUUGGGGAUAUGAAUUUGAGUGUUGUGUUACUAGUUGCUACGGUCACCAUAUAUGAGGGGUUGUUGUUGUUUCUGAGUGUUAUGUUGCUAUUGUAUUAAUUUCUGCAGGAUUGAUGAUUAUGAUGUC